rnacentral:rRNA from 1 species
CUACGGAGGCUGCAAGCGUUAUCCGGAAUCAUUGGGUUUAAAGGGUCCGUAGGCGGACUAUUAAGUCAGAGGUGAAAUCCCACAGCUCAACUGUGGAACUGCCUUUGAUACUGGUAGUCUUGAGUUAUAUGGAAGUAGAUAGAAUGUGUAGUGUAGCGGUGAAAUGCAUAGAUAUUACACAGAAUACCGAUUGCGGAGGCAGUCUACUACGUAUAUACUGACGCUAAGGGACGAAAGCGUGGGGAGCGAACAGGAUUAGAUACCCCGUAGUCC